rnacentral:rRNA from 1 species
GACGAACGCUGGCGGCGUGCUUAACACAUGCAAGUCGAACGGAAAGGCCUCUUUCGGGGGGUACUCGAGUGGCGAACGGGUGAGUAACACGUGAGUAACCUGCCCUUGACUUUGGGAUAACUUCAGGAAACUGGGGCUAAUACCGGAUAGGAGCUCCUGCUGCAUGGUGGGGGUUGGAAAGUUUCGGCGGUUGGGGAUGGGCUCGCGGCUUAUCAGCUUGUUGGUGGGGUAGUGGCUUACCAAGGCUUUGGCGGGUAGCCGGCCUGAGAGAGUGACCGGCGAUAUAGGAACUAAGGGACGGCCCAGACUCCUACGUGAGGCAGCAGUGGGCAAUAUUGCACAAUGGGUGGAAGCCUGAUGCAGCAACGCCGUGUGCGGGAUGACGGCCUUCGGGUUGUAAACCGCUUUCGCUCAUGACGAAGCUUUGUGUGACGGUAGUGGGUAAAGAAGCACCGGCUAACUACGUG